rnacentral:rRNA from 1 species
CAGUCGAACGGACUCGGAUUGAAACCUAGUGAUUUCCGAGUUAGUGGCGGACGGGUGAGUAACGCGUGGAUAACCUGCCGUAUGCAGGGGGAUAACAGUUGGAAACAGCUGCUAAUACCGCAUAAGCGCACAAUACCGCAUGGUACUGUGUGAAAAGAUUUAUCGGCAUACGAUGGAUCCGCGUCCGAUUAGCCAGUUGGCGGGGUAACGGCCCACCAAAGCGACGAUCGGUAGCCGGCCUGAGAGGGCGGACGGCCACAUUGGGACUGAGACACGGCCCAAACUCCUACGGGAGGCAGCAGUGGGGAAUAUUGCACAAUGGGGGAAACCCUGAUGCAGCGACGCCGCGUGAGUGAAGAAGUAUCUCGGUAUGUAAAGCUCUAUCAGCAGGGAAGAAAAUGACGGUACCUGACUAAGAAGCCCCGGCUAACUACGUGCCAGCAGCCGCGGUAAUACGUAGGGGGCAAGCGUUAUCCGGAUUUACUGGGUGUAAAGGGAGCGUAGACGGCGCUGCAAGUCCGGAGUGAAAGCCCAUGGCUUAACCAUGGUACUGCUCUGGAAACUGUGGAGCUUGAGUGCGGGAGGGGCAGGCGGAAUUCCUAGUGUAGCGGUGAAAUGCGUAGAUAUUAGGAGGAACACCGGCGGCGAAGGCGGCCUGCUGGACCGUAACUGACGUUGAGGCUCGAAAGCGUGGGGAGCAAACAGGAUUAGAUACCCUGGUAGUCCACGCCGUAAACGAUGAUUACCAGGUGUCGCGGUACGAAGUACUGCGGUGCCGGCGCAAACGCAAUAAGUAAUCCACCUGGGGAGUACGUUCGC